GAUUAAACUUCAAUGUAUAAAAUACCGAAAGCAAACAAGACUACAAAAGUCUGACUGCCUAAAUUAAUACUAUUACGUCUGAUCACUUUAAAAUUUUUAUAGUUUUUUCACGUUAAAAUGUAAUCACUAAUCACAGUGUCUACUGGACGUUUACACCGUUUAAAAAUAUUUUUUCUUUCUCUCGUUUGGACAAAUUGGUUAGAAUCUGAAGCUGUAUCAGAAUAAUGUAAGGCUACGCAGCUGUCCCCUUGGCAGCGGCGGUCCUCCGGAACAGAGCAGCGUAUCCUGCAUGGAUAUGAGCCCAAUCGCUGCUGUCCGCUCCGGAACUUAACGUCCUUCUCUGCAGUCAGGGGUAAAUACCAGCAGGUGGCGCUGUCCCCCCAGCUUCUGCAGGCGUCACAAGCUUCUCUUCAAACGAGUGAAAGAAGUUCCUACUUGAGUUCGCCGCUUCUGAGAUUAGUAAGUUAGUUAUUUUUAGUUUUCUGCAUCUUUGAGGAGUGUAGCUGAAAUUUCCUGUGUUUGAAACUCGCCGUUUGAGGAGCCCAGAAGUGUUUUGGAGGUCACGGGGACCGGCGAGGCUGAUGAGGAACCGAUCCUGUCUGGGGCUGCAUCCCUCCUCUGCUGCUCAAAGCCAACGUGACACUGGCUUCACUGCCAGCGCCCCCACAUCGGCUGCCCUCCCCUCAGAAGAUGGCGCUCAAGGAGGCCUCAGGUACACAGACACGCAGGGUGGCAGGGGGUCCGGAGCCGACUCUGAAGGCUACAGCUGCAAGCCAGCGAUCGACAAAGGAUGGGCGCCGACCCAUCGCAGGACAAACACACACACACACUUGUCACUCACACACCAGUCGCACACACACCAUUCACAUACAUAGUCACUCCUGUGGGCAAUUUAGCUAGUCCAAUUAGCCUCAGCAUGUUUUUGGACGGUGG